GGCUGGCCGUGGCACUCGUUCCACGUGUGGGCAGGGAAUCUGAGCGUCUGCUCUACAGGAUCGGCGGGCGCCGUUUUCCGGCGGGAGGCUGGCGGUGGUUCUGUUCUCCGGCCCUCCGUGCUGAGCGCGCUGCAUUUCUCACUUGAGUCGUGGGCUGCCAGACUGACCGAGAGGGUCCCGGCUGGAUGCUGAACUGGGUGGGAUGUGGGGAUGUCUCCGCCAGGGCAGCGGGGAGCCAAGUGUGUUUUAUGGGAAGGCAGGCGCUGUUUUCCGAAGGAUAUGUGUGGUCUGUGCAUGGUAGGCCGCUAAGGGGGUGGACUGUAGUGUGCCUGGCCGGUUCCUCCUUCUGGAAACAGUUGCAGGUUCCCCUUUGAGGGUCCAGGGUGCAGUCUGCAGACACCCCGCUGAGUGCUGGGAGGGACAGGGGCAGGACAGCAGGUGGCAGCAAGUGUAGAACGCCAGGUAAGAGAGAGGCUGGCCGCUUCCCUCAGGGGCAGCUGUGAGCGCAGAGGGACAGACACCAGGGGCUUCAGGUGCUCUAUGGGAGGUGGAGAACCGAGGGCUGGGGGCCAUGGGGCCAUGGCAGAGAUGUGUCACGUGACUCUGGCUUCCGGCUAGAAAUGCUGGGAAGUGGCAGUGAUAGCUGCCAAGGCAGGUACUGGCCAGGUGAGGGGAUGCACAGCAGGGUCAGGGAGGCCAGCCACCUCUUGCUCAGCGUUCAGGCUGCAGCGCGGCGGGCAGCGCGAAAGGGCAGAAGAUCAGCGGGUGCGGACGGCGAACGCAAGCCCUGCGAGGACCCAGGGCCCUGGCUGAAAUCUCAGCGCCGGAAACCGUGUCCUGCAUGCAGCUGUAUGUUCCAGGCACCGUCCCGAGCUCAUUGCCUGGAGAGACGGAUCACUGGGCACCUGUACUUAGCUUUACGGAGGUGUAGUAGCCAGGGAUCUCCAGAGAAACAGAACCCAUAAGAGAGAGACACAGAAGGAGAGAGACCAGUAUUUUAAGUAAUUAGCUCAUGUGAUUGUGGGGGCUGGCAGUUCCAGAAUUCGCCAGGCAGGCCAGCAGGCUCGAGACUCAGGAGGGAGUUGCUGUCUCAGCUCUGGAGGCAGAAUUCAUUCCUCUUCUGGGACCUCAGUCUUUCUUUCAAGGCCUUCACCUGAUUGGACGAGGCCCACCCACAUUCUGGAGGGCAGUCAGCUUUACUCAAAAGCCUGCUGAUUCCCAUGUUGAUCGCGUCUAAGAAAUACCACAGCAAUACCUGGACUGAUGGCUGAACAAACACCUGGCUUCCAUGGCCCAGCCAAGUUGAUACGUAAAGUGAACCCACACGGGAGGCAUAAUUGGUGUAUAAUUGACCGUACAUAUUUAAAGUGGGAAAUUUGAUGUUUUGGCAUACGUGUGUGCCCCUGAAAACAUCACCGCAGUAGAGGUAAUGAACGUAUCCGUACCUGUCAUCCCCAAAGGUUUUCACUGGCCCUCUGUCAUCCUUGCAUCCCGCACCUCCCGGCCCCCACCAUCCCCAGCCAGCCUCUGAUUUCUGUCAGUAUACGUUAAUUUGCAUUUCCUAGAAGUCUGUAAAAAUGGAACCAGACAGUAGAGCCUCCUUUUUUUCCUGGCUCGUUUCACCCAGUAAAAUUAUUUUGAGAGUCAUCCGUGUUGCUGUAUGUAUCCGUGGACUGCUGGUUUCCUUUCCCUGCUGAGCAGGGUUCUGCCGCAUGGAUGCUAGUCUGUUCCUGAAUUCACCUGUUGAUGCGCGUCUGGGUCGUUUAUGGUUCAGACCAGCAGAAAGGAAGCUGCCGCGAACAUUCCCGCGCGUGUUUGCCUCUGGGCUCCUGCUUUCGCUUGUGCGUGAAUCUCGAGGAGUAGCCUGUCUGGAUCCUGCCUCAUUUCCCGGGAAAGGGUCGAAGUCUCCAGCGUGAGUUUACCAGUUUACAUCUGUCCAGCAGCUACGAGAGCUCAGCUGGCUGUGUGUUCUCGCCACGCCGUAGCGUGGUGCCUGUUUCAUUACCGUCGCCCAAA